CUAAGUGUCAUGCUGGUAGUCGUGGCUGGGAGUACCGUGCUGAUUAAGGAAUGCCAUUAACAGUCUGAGGCACUUCUUAAUGUACCUAGCAUAUCAAUGACGCUUGACAGAUGUCUGACAGACUGAACCGAGUGAACAAGUCACAAGGCUGCUUUAAAAAGUUUCUUUCAUCCAUGGUGUAUCACAUAUCUUCAGCAAAGCUGAACACUGUCUAAGGACAUUUCAGUCAAGAUGCUACAUAUAAAUCAGUGGUCCCAGAAGAUUACAAUACGAUUGAAAAACCCCUGCCAACUAUUGCGUUGUUAUAGUGGGACAACAUGUUUCUGGUAAUUUUGUGAUAAUACUGGUGUACAUAGAACUACUGUGCUACCAGUUGUGUGCAAGUACAGAACAUGCAAUUAACAACCAUACAAUAAUGUUUGGUAGUGAUGAUUAAGUGUCCAUGCUCCUGUUCAUAAACAGGAGCUUCUUGUGUUAUGCUUUUGUCAUUGUUCUAGAGUGUACUCUGCACAUCUGAAAAACCACGGGGCCUCCUGUAGUAUCUCAGUACUUAUCCCUAGCAUAGGUAUGGACUUUGGGAGCCCAUUCCACAUAGAGGGAUACUCCCUGAGCCAAGACACACGGUGGGGGGGGGCGGGAGGGGGUAGGCCCUAUCCCAAAGGAUAUGACAGACUCUGAAGACCCCCUAUGGAAGGCAUCACCCUCCCUGGGGAGCAGAAAGCGUAUAUAAUAGAUAGAGUUUUAGUUGGG
ensembl:lncRNA